CUGGGACUCCUUUUGAACUGUUGUUUAUGAAACAAGGACUCUGAGACUGCAUUUGGCGCAGAAAACCAAACCCAAGACAAUCAAAUCCAAAACAACACACCGACUCUUGACCUGCCGAUACUCAAUGGUCAAGUAGAAGCAAGACCAAGCUUGUCUUCUUUGCAUUUAUUUUGUGUGUGUCCAGUUUGGGGGUCCAGUUCAGACUCCACUCUGCACACAGCACUGGACAGCAUUUAGUUGUAUCACUGGAACCAACAAACACGCUGCCUCAGUUGACUUCUCCAUGAAAUAACUUGGAAAAGUUACUCGGGACGCUCCGGCUACUCUUCUCUCCACUCUAUAGGCAUGGAAAUCUUGGCACGAUGAGAAUUUUCAGUAACUUUUUCUGAAGAAAUAACGUCUCAGUGCUGUUUUGCUUGGCUCAGCUCAGUAAUGCAAGAGGACACUGUACAAAGUAAACAGAAUGAAGGUUACCCUGCUGCUGAAAAUAACUGUG
rnacentral:lncRNA from 1 species